rnacentral:rRNA from 1 species
CACUAUGAGAUGGACCUGCGUUGUAUUAGCUAGUUGGUGAGGUAACGGCUCACCAAGGCGACGAUACAUAGCCGACCUGAGAGGGUGAUCGGCCACACUGGGACUGAGACACGGCCCAGACUCCUACGGGAGGCAGCAGUAGGGAAUCUUCGGCAAUGGACGGAAGUCUGACCGAGCAACGCCGCGUGAGUGAAGAAGGUUUUCGGAUCGUAAAGCUCUGUUGUUAGAGAAGAACGGUAAUGGGAGUGGAAAAUCCAUUACGUGACGGUAACUAACCAGAAAGGGACGGCUAACUACGUGCCAGCAGCCGCGGUAAUACGUAGGUCUCGAGCGUUGUCCGGAUUUAUUGGGCGUAAAGCGAGCGCAGGCGGUUCUAUAAGUCUGAAGUAAAAGGCAGUGGCUCAACCAUUGUAUGCUUUGGAAACUGUAGAACUUGAGUGCAGAAGGGGAGAGUGGAAUUCCAUGUGUAGCGGUGAAAUGCGUAGAUAUAUGGAGGAACAC